rnacentral:sRNA from 1 species
UUUUAUAUUAAUGUUGUAAUUAAAAAAAUUGGUGAUGAUAAAAUAAUAAAAUAAAUAUUUAACAUGUGUUAUAUCAAUCCAAAUCCGUUCUGCUAUAUUUCAUAUCAAUGCAAACCCGUCCCGCUAUAUUUUUCGUCUCAUAAUAUUUUAA